AGCAGCCGCGGUAAUUCCAGCUCCAAUAGCGUAUAUUAAAGUUGUUGCAGUUAAAAAGCUCGUAGUUGAAUUUCGGGGUCAGUAGGUUGGUCAUGCCUUCGGUAUGUACUGGUCUCACUGAUUCCUCCCUCUUGAAGAACUGUAAUGUCAUUAAUUUGGUGUUGCGGGGAAACAGGAUUGUUACUUUGAAAAAUUAGAGUGUUUAAAGCAGGCUCACGCUUGAAUACAUUAGCAUGGAAUAAUGAAAUAGGACGUUCGAUCCUAUUUUGUUGGUUUCUAGGAUUGACGUAAUGAUUAAUAGGGAUAGUUGGGGGCAUUAGUAUUCAAUUGUCAGAGGUGAAAUUCUUGGAUUUAUUGAAGACUAACUACUGCGAAAGCAUUUGCCAAGGAUGUUUUCAUUAAUCAAGAACGAAAGUUAGGGGAUCGAAGACGAUCAGAUACCGUCGUAGUCUUAACCAUAAACUAUGCCGACUAGGGAUCGGAUGAUGUUAAUUUUUAAUGACUCAUUCGGCGCCUUAAC
rnacentral:rRNA from 1 species